rnacentral:lncRNA from 1 species
CUAGUGGAGACCCCGCCCACAUAUCCCACAGCUCAGUACAGCAUUCUACCAUAGCUUCCACGGGACAUGCCAAAAUUCAUGGGACACAAUAUGCAUUGUAAUUGUAUGUAUGAUGUUUUAAUACUAAACUUACAGAAUAACAGACAGAAAGAAAACAAAAGACAGAAAAAGAAGAAAGUAGAGAGAGAGAGAGAGAGAGAGAGCCAGAGUUAGACAGAGAGAGAGAGAGGUGGAGGAGAGAGGGAGAGGCGGAGGGAGGGAGUAAAGAAAGAAGGGAAGGAGAAAGGGAGGAGAGGAAAAGACAAAGAUUGGGACCAGAGCUGGAGAACAGAGGGAAUCUCUCCAUCGCUUUGAUUGGUCAAGACCCAGCAGGAUGGGCAGCUACCCAACCGCUGUGCUCCUGUGCUGUUUCUAUGGUAACAUGGAUCGGUCCAAACAGCACAACACAAAACCCAAUUAUGUUAAUUACUCUUAAUGAGGGAUUAUCUGUUCCUCUUGUCCCCAAAAAACAUGUAAUGUUAUUGUUGUUUUUUUUCUGCAGGACUGGUCAUGGUCUUGGCCCAGCAGCCGGGUAGGCCAAACAUCCUGAAUAGUUUUAUUUAAGAGUUUAAUUAAAUUAUUACGUAAACUUUAUUAAAGUUCCAAACUGUCUGUACUGUCUGAUCUGUAGUCCAAACAAAACUGCUAAAACAGCCUGCUGGGAACUGAUCACAGCUGUGAUGUCAUAAUGUUUAUUAAUAGUUUCAUAUUGGAACAGUGUAAUAAUAUGUAAAUGAUGUAUGAUAAUGUGUAUAUAUUCUGUUUAUACAGCUGGAAAAAAGAGACUAUUCAGUUUCUGAAUCAGUUUCUCUGACCUCAGUUUCUCAGACCUUUAAUAAUGAAAACAAGUUCAUAUUCAUAAAGUUUUAAGAGUUCAAAAAUCAAUAUUUGGUGGAAUAACCCUGGUUUUUAAUCACAGUUUUUAUGCAUCUUGGCAUCAUGUUCUCCUCCACCAGUCUUACACACUGCUUUUGGAUAACUUUAUGCCACUCCUAGUGCAAAAAUUCAAGCAAGCAGUUCAGUUUGGUUUGAUGACUUGUGAUCAUCCAUCUU